GACGAACGCUGGCGGCGUGCUUAACACAUGCAAGUCGAACGGAAAGGCCCUGCUUGCAUGGUGCUCGAGUGGCGAACGUGUGUGUAACACGUGGGUGAUCUGCCCCUUACUUUGGGCUAAGCCUGGGAAACUGGGUCUAAUACUGGAUAGGACCAUGCUGUAGGUGUUUUGGUGGUAAGAUUUGUUUCGGUCAGGGAUGAGCUCGCGGCCUAUCAGCUUGUUGGUGGAGUAAUGGCCUACCACGGCGGCGUCGGGUAGCCGUACUGAGAGGUUGGACGGUAACAUUACGACUGAGAUACAGCACACACUCCUACGGGGGGCGACAGUGGGGGAUAUUACUAAAUGGGCGCAGGCCUGGUGCCGCGGCGCCGCGUGGAGGUUGACGGACUUCGGGUUGUAGACGCCUUUCCGCCAUGGCGAAGCCCUUGUGGUGACGGUAGUGGAAGAAGAAGCACCGGCUAACUACGUG
rnacentral:rRNA from 1 species